rnacentral:rRNA from 1 species
GCUCAGAGAGGAACGCUGGCGGCGUGUCUAACACAUGCAAGUCGAACGCGAAAGCCCCGCAAGGGGCAAGUAGAGUGGCGCACUUGUCAGUAACACGUGGAUAACCUGCCUUCGAGUGGGGAAUAGCCUUCCGAAAGGAGGGCUAAUACCACAUAACACCUUUGGACGAAAGUCGAAGGGUUAAAAGGAGCAAUUCGCUCGAAGAGGGGUCCGCGCCUGAUUAGCUAGUUGGCGGGGUAAUGGCCCACCAAGGCUUCGAUCAGUAGCCGUCCUGAGAGGGAGCACGGCCACACUGGAACUGAGACACGGUCCAGACUCCUACGGGAGGCAGCAGUGGG